rnacentral:rRNA from 1 species
UUACCUACGUGACGCAGCAGUGAGGAAUAUUGGUCAAUGGCCGGAAGGCUGAACCAGCCCCUCCUCUUUACUGACGAAGGUGCCAAGCAUUGUAAACUUCUUUUGUCAAGGGACAAAAUCAGGCUCGAGAGCCUGACCGAGGGUACUUGAAGAAAAAGCAUCGGCUAACUCCGUGCCAGCAGCCGCGGUAAUACGGAGGAUGCGAGCGUUAUCCGGAUUUAUUGGGUUUAAAGGGUGCGUAGGCGGACUGUUAAGUCAGCGGUAAAAGCCCGGGGCUCAACCCCGGCGAGCCGUUGAAACUGGCG